rnacentral:rRNA from 1 species
UACGUAGGCAGCAAGCGUUGUUCGGAGUUACUGGGCGUAAAGGGUGUGUAGGCGGUUGAUAAGUGUGGUGUGAAAUCUCCCGGCUCAACUGGGAGGGUGCGCUACAAACUGUCUGACUAGAGUGUGGGAUGGGUAAGUGGAAUUCCUGGUGUAGCGGUGAAAUGCGUAGAUAUCAGGAGGAACACCGGUGGUGUAGACGGCUUACUGGACCAUAAACUGACGCUGGAGAACACGAAAGCGUGGGUAGCAAACAGG